UUUGGGAGCUUGCUCCCGAUGAGAGUGGCGCACGGGUGCGUAACACGUAUGUAACCUACCUUUAUCAGGGGGAUAGCCUCUCGAAAGAGAGAUUAAGCCCGCAUAACAUCACGGGAUAGCAUUAUACUGUGAUCAAAUAUUUAUAGGAUAAAGAUGGGCAUGCGGAACAUUAGCUAGUUGGCGGGGUAAUGGCCCACCAAGGCUUUGAUCGGUAGCCGGCCUGAGAGGGCGCACGGCCACACUGGAACUGAAACACGGUCCAGACUCCUACGGGAGGCAGCAGUGGGGAAUUUUGCGCAAUGGGGGAAACCCUGACGCAGCAACGCCGCGUGGAGGAUGAAGUCCCUUGGG
rnacentral:rRNA from 1 species